rnacentral:rRNA from 1 species
AGCAUAUCAAUAAGCGGAGGAAAAGAAACCAACAGGGAUUGCCCCCAGUAACGGCGAGUGAAGCGGCAACAGCUCAAAUUUGAAAUCUGGCCCCUAGGGUCCGAGCCUGUAAUUUGUAGAGGAUGCUUUUGGCGCGGCGCCUUCCGAGUUCCCUGGAACGGGACGCCAUAGAGGGUGAGAGCCCCGUCUGGUUGGAUGCCUAGCCUCUGUAAAGCUCCUUCGACGAGUCGAGUAGUUUGGGAAUGCUGCUCUAAAUGGGAGGUAUAUGUCUUCUAAAGCUAAAUACCGGCCAGAGACCGAUAGCGCACAAGUAGAGUGAUCGAAAGAUGAAAAGCACUUUGAAAAGAGGGUUAAAUAGUACGUGAAAUUGUUGAAAGGGAAGCGUUUGUGACCAGACUUGGGCUCGGUUGAUCAUCCAGCGUUUUCGCUGGUGCACUCUGCCGGCCCAGGCCAGCAUCAGUUCGCGCCGGGGGAUAAAGGCUUCGGGAAUGUGGCUCCUCGGAGUGUUAUAGCCCGUUGUGUAAUACCCUGGUGCGGACUGAGGUUCGCGCUCCGCAAGGAUGCUGGCGUAAUGGUCAUCAGCGACCCGUCUUGAAACACGGACCAAGGAGUCGUCUUCGUAUGCGAGUGUUCGGGUGUCAAACCCCUACGCGUAAUGAAAGUGAACGCAGGUGAGAGCUUCGGCGCAUCAUCGACCGAUCCUGAUGUUCUCGGAUGGAUUUGAGUAAGAGCAUACGGGGCCGGACCCGAAAGAAGGUGAACUAUGCCUGUAUAGGGUGAAGCCAGAGGAAACUCUGGUGGAGGCUCGCAGCGGUUCUGACGUGCAAAUCGAUCGUCAAAUAUGGGCAUGGGGGGCGAAAGACUAAUCGAACCUUCUAGUAGCUGGUUUCCGCCGAA